GACGAACGCUGGCGGCGCGCCUAACACAUGCAAGUCGAACGGAGCUGAGAGAAGCUUGCUUUUCUUAGCUUAGUGGCGAACGGGUGAGUAACGCGUGAGUAACCUGCCCUGGAGUGGGGGACAACAGUUGGAGACGACUGCUAAUACCGCAUAAGCCCACGAUCCGGCAUCGGAUUGAGGGAAAAGGAUUUAUUCGCUUCAGGAUGGACUCGCGUCCAAUUAGCUAGUUGGUGAGGUAACGGCCCACCAAGGCGACGAUUGGUAGCCGGACUGAGAGGUUGAACGGCCACAUUGGGACUGAGACACGGCCCAGACUCCUACGGGAGGCAGCAGUGGGGGAUAUUGCACAAUGGGGGAAACCCUGAUGCAGCGACGCCGCGUGGAGGAAGAGGGUUUUCGGAUUGUAAACUCCUGUCGUUAGGGACGAUAAUGACGGUACCUAACAAGAAAGCACCGGCUAACUACGUG
rnacentral:rRNA from 1 species